rnacentral:ncRNA from 12 species
CUCCUUAGAGCUGUGGUUGAAAGUCGAAGCCAGUCGCAGGCGAAACGACCCACGUAAGGUAACCUUAGUUACUGAGCAUGGUGCGGCUUUGGAGUAAGUCCUGCCUUAACCUUAACGGGUUAGAACAAUAAGAGAAGAGUAGUAGUGAAGGAUAAAGUUUCUGAGCAAACCUCUCAGCAGGCGAGUGUGGGGGCAAAGACCAGGUCAGUCUAAGGAA